rnacentral:rRNA from 1 species
UACAGAGGUGGCAAGCGUUGUUCGGAAUUACUGGGCGUAAAGGGCGCGUAGGUGGCCUUGUUAGUCAGACGUGAAAUCCCCAAGCUUAACUUGGGAACUGCGUCUGAUACUGCAAGGCUUGAGUUCGGGAGAGGGAUGUGGAAUUCCAGGUGUAGCGGUGAAAUGCGUAGAUAUCUGGAGGAAUACCGGUGGCGAAGGCGGCAUCCUGGACCGACAUUGACGCUGAGGAGCGAAAGCUAGGGGAGCAAACGGGAUUAGAAACCCUUGUAGU